rnacentral:rRNA from 1 species
UACGUAGGGUCCGAGCGUUGUCCGGAAUUAUUGGGCGUAAAGAGCUCGUAGGCGGUUUGUCGCGUCUGCUGUGAAAUCCCGAGGCUCAACCUCGGGUCUGCAGUGGGUACGGGCAGACUGGAGUGCGGUAGGGGAGAAUGGAAUUCCCGGUGUAGUGGUGAAAUGCGUAGAUAUCGGGAGGAACACCAGUGGCGAAGGCGGCUUUCUGGUCUGUUCUUGACGCUGAGGCGCGAAAGCUAGGGUAGCAAAACGGGG